rnacentral:misc_RNA from 1 species
AUUUCCAUGCCUGCAGUCUCU